UGAGCCACUGCGCCUGGCCUGAAGCUCUUUUUCUUUAGAAGACCAUGCUGCAGAAACUUCAAAAUACAAAAGAAUGCUGCUAUCUACUAUCUGGUGAAGUAUUUUAAGAGGACUGCAAAAAACUAGGUUGUGCAUACUGACCCUGAAUCAAAUCAGGUUUCUGCCUACAAGAAGGAAGAAGAAAUGGCAGCUAGGUUCUCUCUCUUUGCCUGCCGCCAUCUACGUAAGAUGUGACUUGCUCCUCCUUGCCUUCUGCCAUGAUUGUGAGGCCUCCCCAGCCAUGUGCAACUGUAAGUACAUUAAACCUCUUUCUUUCGUAAAUUGCCCAGUCUUGAGUAUAUCUUUAUUAGCAGCAUGAAAAUUCUGCUAAUAAACACCUGUAUCUCCAAACAAGCUGAUAGCUUCAACUGUUAUAUAAAGUAUACACAUGCUCAGUGUUGGUGAGAGGGGUUAAUCUUUGUCUUCACGAAACAUUGCUCAUUCCUUCAGUGUGUCCUUAUGUUGGAUUAUAGGGAGCUGUGCACAGGAGUCUCUCUUGCUAAGCUGGACCUUUGGGAGCCACAGAUGGGAAGCCGUUUGCCCCUCGCAUAAGUUCCCUGAUUAUUCAAUAUGUCCCCAGUAUACUGUCACUUCAGGAGGCCCUACUUUAGAAGAAACAUGGUCUAUGAUGGUGCUGUGGAUUAUCUGUUUUUGUUGUUGUUUAUUUGUUUUUUGAGACUGAGUCUCACUCUGUUGUCCAGGCUGUAGUGCAGGGGUGCAAUCUCGGCUCAUUUAAACCUCUGCCUGCCAGGUUCAAGUGAUUCUUCUGCCUCAGCCUCCAAAGUAGCUGGGAUUACAGGCACCCACCACCAUGCCUAGCUAAUUUUUGUAUUUUUAGUACAGAUGGGGUUUCACCAUGUUGGCCAGGCUGGUCUUGAACUUCUGACCUCAAGUGAUCUGCCCACCUUGGCUUCCCAAAGUGCUGGGAUUACAGGCUGUUUUUCUUAAUGUAUAGUUAAUUUUGGUUACAGAGCUGGCAGAGACAAAUGCCUAUUGGCAAUAGGAUUUAGACCUAUUAUCUGAGGACGGUUCCUCAAAGCUCAAAGUGAAGGAAAAAAGAGAUAAAAGCAGAUCUUUUUUUGCAAUUCUGUUCCUUCAGGCCAUGAAACUUAAAUGUCAUCUUUUAGGUAAUGGAGAGCCAUGAAAGUCUUUAACCUUAACUCUAUGAGGACCUCCUUGGCAACAUGUGGCAGAUUAUAUUUUCCAAAGAUGGCCAUAAUGUCUCCCAUCCCCCAUGCUUUUCUGCAAUGUGACCUUGUCAUUCCCUCAUCAAGAGGUGGAUUGAAUUCUCCCACUGAAUCUGGCUGGCCUUAGUGAUUCCCAUGUGAGGUUAUCAGAUUUGGUAAAUGAAAAUGCAAGAUGCCCAGUUGAAUUUGAAUUUCAGAUGAACAACAAAUGGCAUUUGUUCUAUAUAAGUAUGUCUCAUUAAUAUAGUUCGGAUGUUUGUCCCCACCCAAAUCUCUUGUUGAAUUGUAAUCUGCAAUGCUGGAGGUGGGGCCUGGUGGGAGGU